GGAAGUUUUCGGAUGGAAGCGGAUCUGACUUAGCGGCGGACGGGUGAGUAACGCGUGGAUAACCUGCCUCAUACAGGGGGAUAACAGUUAGAAAUGACUGCUAAUACCGCAUAAGCGCACAGGACCGCAUGGUCCGGUGUGAAAAACUCCGGUGGUAUGGGAUGGAUCCGCGUCUGAUUAGCUGGUUGGUGAGGUAACGGCCCACCAAGGCGACGAUCAGUAGCCGACCUGAGAGGGUGGCCGGCCACAUUGGGACUGAGACACGGCCCAAACUCCUACGGGAGGCAGCAGUGGGGAAUAUUGCACAAUGGGGGAAACCCUGAUGCAGCAACGCCGCGUGAGUGAAGAAGUAUUUCGGUAUGUAAAGCUCUAUCAGCAGGGAAGAAGAAAGACGGUACCUGACUAAGAAGCCCCGGCUAACUACGUGCCAGCAGCCGCGGUAAUACGUAGGGGGCAAGCGUUAUCCGGAUUUACUGGGUGUAAAGGGAGCGUAGACGGCUGUGCAAGUCUGAAGUGAAAGCCCGUGGCUCAACCGCGGAACUGCUUUGGAAACUGUAUAGCUUGAGUACUGGAGAGGCAGGCGGAAUUCCUAGUGUAGCGGUGAAAUGCGUAGAUAUUAGGAGGAACACCAGUGGCGAAGGCGGCCUGCUGGACAGAAACUGACGUUGAGGCUCGAAAGCGUGGGGAGCAAACA
rnacentral:rRNA from 1 species